CCGUGGUUCCUCCAUUUGUUGCAUGCUGUUCACUUGUUACCUGCUGUAAAUUGGGUGCUGCUCACUUGUUAUCUGCUUUAAAUAUCAGACUUGUUAACUCGUGCCCCAUUUGUUGUCUGUGCGGAAAUUUUCCAUUCUGUGCAGUGUAUAUUGGUAGCUGUGUACUCCAUCUCUAUGUUCUACUAAUUGCGUAGUUUCCACUUGCCACAAUUGUAUAGUUGCUGCUUGCCAUUUCCUUCCGAGUGACUGUGACAUUGUGUCCUCGAAGCAAAUUCGUCCAUUGAGUGUAGAUCUGUAUGCUCUCCUGUGUAUCUAAUCGAAUGUUUUAUAGAUGCCCAAAAUCCAAAGCAAGUCUAUGUUUACUAGAUUAGAGUUUUGAGAAUUAGCAGAAUAAGAAGACUGGAAGAAUAAAGAAGUAACUAAAAAUUGCACCUACUAGCAUUUCUGGUUAACUUAUUUUAAAUUGGUUUGGCAACAAAAAGUAUAGGCAUGGCCAAAACUCCACUUCUGCAUAAAUUGUUGGCGCAAUUACUUAACUAAGUCUAAAUGAAGAUUUUGUGCUGCUAUUAACUUGCAAAAUGAUUUGUAAUAUACCCACACAAUAAAUAUUUAUAACAUACCCACACAAUAAAUUGGUGGUACUGAUUAUGUUGCUAGUUUUGAUCAGGAAUGUUGUAUGUUGGUUCUCACUUCUAGUUUUUAUCAGGAUGAACUGGAAACAUAGUACUUGCGUGGAUAUAAAAUGAGAUAUUUUGGUUAUACUGAAUGUCUGUUCUCGCUGUAUGACUUUAGAAGUUAAUAGCAAUUUGGGCUCUUAAACCAGAGAUCUUGGUUGAUAUCUUAUUUUCUAUUGUACGAUAGUGUGGCUUCGCGAGUCCAUCUAAAUAGCGCAGAUCAUAUCGAUACUUGGAAUACUCCCCCUCUGUUUCCUAUCUACAGUGCGCACACAUUAAUAUUGUCUGUAGCUCCUCUUACUGCUUUCCAACCAUUAUAUUUCCCAGUUGCAACUUGAUGAAAGGCUGUUUCGUUGAUCUUUUCUUGAAUUUGUGUACUUUGUAAAUUGCAAUCUUAUUCAGACAUUAAUCUGUGCCUGAGUUGUUUGUGUUAAGAAUUUGGCCGAGUCCAUACUUUCGAACAAUUAUGGCGCCCAACAUGUCUGACCCAGUGGAGUGUACUUGAGUUGGCACCGUUCUAGGUAUUGAUCGUGCUGGUAGCUUCUGCACUUUAUUUUUUAUAGUUCAGAUGAUGGAGCACUCUGGGGUGAACUACAUUCUUGUGUGUUAACUGUCUUUAGCUUCUCUUGUUAAUAAUUUCUUUCACGAACAUUCUAGUUGCAACUUGCAAGGCUGUUCUGUUAAGCUCUUGUUCUUGAAUUUGUUUACUUGCAAGUUGCAACCUUAUCCCGAGCUCAACUUCUGAAUAGUGUACUGGGCUGGUUUUUGCUACUAGUCAGGUUAAGAAAUAUUGUGGCACCACCUUAUCCAGGGCGUUCUAAAUAAUCUUUCAAGUAUUGCCAGUCAGGUCAAGUAAAUAGUGUGCCACCAUCCCAGUAGAUGAGGAAAAAAUGAUGCUUGACUUCUUUUUAGUACUAGCACAGUGCUUGUGCGUUGCUACGCGGAAGUUUGGUGUUUUAGCUAAACUGUCAAGUGCAUAUUUCUAGAAACUCUGAAGUUAGCAAUCUUAUUAGUACAGAUUUCUUAAGAUGAGGGAACAUCCCUGGUAUUGCUUGGUCAUGUGCUAUGGCCUAAUGCAUGUAACAUGUGUGCGCGAUGUGCUAGCUUGCUUCAAUUGAACUGUGUAUUACUUCACCUUAGGACGUCGGAGUGCCCCCCUUAGCCUUAGGACGCCUUUGGCGCCUUUAAAACCAUGAGUUUGUGCUUACUUCAAUUGAACUGUGUAUUACUUCUUUUCAGUGUUAGUCAUGGUUAUUUGAGAAGCAGCAUCUGAGAACACCUAGUUGUAAAUAUUUCAUAGUCUAUUGCUUCUCAAUAUAAUGUUCUACCUUCUCCUGUUUUCAUUUUAUGUUUGUAAAGCAGAGUCUUAGAAUACCUAGUUCUGUUCACUCUAUGUUUCUACACUUGUGCAAUAAAAGAAUGUAUACAUUCUGUCUAUGUUGAUUUAUUGUAGGCACCGGAGGACAAGUCUGUGCUUCUUCACUGCCGCUAGGUGGGCGCCCGCUCAUCUUCUUGUUAGAUAUUGCAUUCACAUGUGGUAUUUCAAGGAAAUUAUCCCUUUUACAAGAGCUACAAGCUGAAGAAGUUAAUAGAAAGCCUGAAGAAGUUCCAGGGUAUCAGAAGGGUAGCCAGCUUUUAUACUUGCUGAGCGUUUUAGUUGGAUAGCAUUGUAUUGUGUUAUGCAAUAUUAUAUGGUUAUCUGGGUGAGGCCUUAAGAAUUUCCAGGGUAUCAACGAUUUGGAUAGCUAGAGUAGAAUUUCAUGUGUUUCCUAUUUGUCGUGACUAGGAUAUUGUAAUUGUAAGUAUAACAAAUUGAUUUUGGCAGCUAUUUGAAGAUUUUAA